GACGAACGCUGGCGGCGUGCUUAACACAUGCAAGUCGAACGGAAAGGCCCUGCUUUUGUGGGGUGCUCGAGUGGCGAACGGGUGAGUAACACGUGAGUAACCUGCCCUUGACUUUGGGAUAACUUCAGGAAACUGGGGCUAAUACCGGAUAGGAGCUCCUGCUGCAUGGUGGGGGUUGGAAAGUUUCGGCGGGUGGGGAUGGACUCGCGGCUUAUCAGCUUGUUGGUGGGGUAGUGGCUUACCAAGGCUUUGACGGGUAGCCGGCCUGGGAGGGUGACCGGCCACCUUGGGACUGAGAUACGGCCCAGACUCCUACGUGAGGCAGCAGUGGCGAAUAUUGCACAAUGGGCGGAAGCCUGAUGCAGAAACGCCGCGUGCGGGAUGACGGCCUUCGGGUUGUAAACCGCUUUCGCCUGUGACGAAGCGUGAGUGACGGUAAUGGGUAAAGAAGCACCGGCUAACUACGUG
rnacentral:rRNA from 1 species